AAUCGCCUGCAAUUAAUUUAAUUACAACCGACAACAAACAGGUUUUCAAUGGGAUCACUGCCUGUUUCAUUCCUGUCCUAUUCCCGGCAGGUUCGUUUUCGUCACUCCUGAUUCAUCUGAUAAUGGUGGCGUGAAUCUUUCUCAGCAGAAGAAACACGGAGAAUACUUUGAACUGCAGCGGAGAUUAGAAGAAGAGGAACAGACCAUGCCACCAAGCAGAAGAACUAGAAAGGUUUAAUACGAUGUCGUUUCAUCUUCCUCUCAUUAACUCUGUUUGUUUACCUGAUCUUGCGUUUUCCCGCUCUCGAUCACUUGUUUUUUUUUUCUUUCGUUUCGAAAAAAAAAGAAUCAGGUGGGUCUCAAGCGCAUUGAUGCAGCCCUUGAUGCCCUCCGCCCUAUGGGGUUUUCUGAUAAUUUGGUUCGUAAAACUCUGAGGCAACUCCUCAAGGUGACUCUAGUCUGUUAUCUUGUUUUAUUUUAAACCUAAUUUAGCGGAAGGGUUUGCUUUGCUCUAUCGUCUGUUUGGUUGCUCGGAAAAGAACUGUUUCGUUUCUGUACCAUGCGGGUUAUCAAGGAUGAUAUUCAGCUGAAAGGCUUAUGGUGGAGAUGAAGGGUGGACUUUCAUAGAAGAGGCUUCCUAUAGGAUUCUAAUAGAUGCAAUACUUGAAGGGUUGGGGGAAAAUUCUCAGGAAAAUAUUGAACAGAAAGCUUCUAUAGAGAGUAAUAGUUCUCAAAAGGAUAAUGAAGUGAAGGAUACUGCAUCUGAAAUCCAAGCCGAAUCGUCGCCUGUUCAGGCCAUGAAAAUGAAUACACUAUCAUUAGAUAUGACAGAAGACAAUGAUUCAUCACGAGAAAAGUAUGGGGUACAAAUUCACCCAGCUCAAGCAAGCUCUUCACAAAUCGAUUCUCAACCUUCAAGAGGCUUCAUCUCAUGUUGUAUGGAUGGAAGAAGCUCACAAGACAAGCCUGGAAAAGAAAUCCAGUACUUCUCCCCGGAGAUCUCGUCUUCAGGAUCUUGCCCUCUGCCAAUCUAUGCCUUACCACCAGCGGAUUCUCUUUCCAGUCGGAAACGAAAACCUUGCUAUGGGUGGCUCAGCAGUGAUGAUGACGAAGAAGAUGGUGUGCUAUUGACACCAGCAGGAGCAGCCACAUGUAUUAAGAGGGACAAUUGAAACUGCCAAUGUGGUGGUAGCUAGCGAUUUUACAGUCAGAUUUUACUCUUACAGAAAGUAUUUUUCUUGUUCGGCCUUCGGCUGGGACUGGAGUAUAACUAUUUUAGUAUGAUAAAAGAUAAUGCGGUAACAAAUCUAAUAUGAAAACUAGUUUGUAGAAACUCUUCUGUAAAUAAUUAUUGAUUUAGAGUGUGGUGCAAGAGUCCAUAGCUCUGUGGUAUAGUUCCGCAGUAGAGCAUUUGAUUGUAAAUUUACAGUGUGGGGUAAGAAUUUGAUGUAUGUGACAGGUGUAAAAACUUUUCGUGUGAAAAUGAAAUAGCUAAUCCAAAGCUCAACAAUUUGCUUC